rnacentral:sRNA from 12 species
UCCUGACUAAUUGUUCCACAUGGAACAUUAGACACUAGCCAAGACAGGAGAUAAUAAUG